UACAGAGGGUGCAAGCGUUGUUCGGAAUUAUUGGGCGUAAAGCGCGUGUAGGCGGCUUUGCAAGUCGGGUGUGAAAGCCCUCAGCUCAACUGAGGAAGUGCGCCCGAAACUGCAGAGCUUGAGUGCCGGAGAGGAUGGCGGAAUUCCCCAAGUAGAGGUGAAAUUCGUAGAUAUGGGGAGGAACACCGGUGGCGAAGGCGGCCAUCUGGACGGUGACUGACGCUGAGACGCGAAAGCGUGGGGAGCAAACAGG
rnacentral:rRNA from 1 species